UACGUAGGGGGCAAGCGUUGUCCGGAAUCAUUGGGCGUAAAGCGCGUGUAGGCGGCUCGGUAAGUCCGCUCUGAAAGCCCGGGGCUCAACCCCGGGAGGCGGGCGGAUACUGUCGGGCUAGAGUCCGGAAGAGGCGAGUGGAAUUCCUGGUGUAGCGGUGAAAUGCGCAGAUAUCAGGAGGAACACCAAUGGCGAAGGCAGCUCGCUGGGACGGUACUGACGCUGAGACGCGAAAGCGUGGGGAGCAAACAGG
rnacentral:rRNA from 1 species